rnacentral:rRNA from 1 species
GGAACCGGGAGAGGUAAGAGGUACUACAGGGGUAGGAGUGAAAUCUUGUAAUCCCUGUGGGACCACCGUGUGGCGAAGGCGUCUUACCGAGAACGGGUUCGACGGGUGAGGGACGAAAGCUGGGGGCACGAACCGGAUUAGAUACCCGGGUAGGUCCCAGCCGUAAACGAUGCUCGCUAGGUGUCAGGCAUGGCGCGACCGUGUCUGGUGCCGCAGGGAAGCCGUGAAGCGAGCCACCUGGGAAGUACGGCCGCAAGGCUGAAACUUAAAGGAAUUGGCGGGGAGCACAACAACGGGUGGAGCCCUGCGGUUUAAUUGGACUCAACGCCGGACAACUCACCGGGGGCGACAGCAAUAUGUAGGCCAAGCUGAAGACUUUGCCUGAAUCGCUGAGGAGUGGUGCAUGG